rnacentral:rRNA from 1 species
AACACGUAGGUAACCUACCCCCAGGUGGUGGAUAACCUUCCGAAAGGGGGGGCUAAUACAGCAUGAGACCACGCCCUCGAGAGAGGAUGAGGUAAAAGUCGGCCUCUUCAUGAAAGCCGGCGCCAGGGGAAGGGCCUGCGGCCCAUCAGCUAGUUGGUAGGGUAAUGGCCUACCAAGGCUAAGACGGGUAGCUGGUCUGAGAGGAUGAUCAGCCACACUGGAACUGAGACACGGUCCAG